rnacentral:tRNA from 2 species
GGGCACGUAGCUCAGGGGUAGAGCAUCUGCCUUUUAAGCAGAGGGUCGGUGGUUCGAGCCCACCCGUGCUCA